ACGGGAGGCAGCAGUGAGGAAUAUUGGUCAAUGGGCGGAAGCCUGAACCAGCCAAGUCGCGUGCGGGACGAAGGCCCUACGGGUCGUAAACCGCUUUUGUACGGGAAUAAAAAACUCCACGCGUGGGGUCUUGUAGGUACCGUAAGAAUAAGGAUCGGCUAACUCCGUGCCAGCAGCCGCGGUAAUACGGAGGAUCCGAGCGUUAUCCGGAUUUAUUGGGUUUAAAGGGUGCGCAGGCGGCCCUGUAAGUCAGCGGUUAAAUCGUGGAGCUCAACUCCAUCCCGCCGUUGAUACUGCAGGGCUUGAUUGCGGUCGAGGUUGGCGGAAUUCGCCGUGUAGCGGUGAAAUGCAUAGAUAUGGCGAAGAACUCCGAUUGCGUAGGCAGCUGACCAGGCCGUAAAUGACGCUCAUGCACGAAAGUGCGGGGAUCGAACAGGAUUAGAUACCCUGGUA
rnacentral:rRNA from 1 species